CUCAAAAAAAAAAAAAAAAAAAAAGUCAUUGCCAUCCAGAUUUCUAAAUUAAAUUCCCUAUUGAAAGAAACUUUUUAUGUUUCCUGAAGGUUAGCAGGCCCCGGGAAAGAAGUCUUUUCAUCCCAACACUCCAUCUCUUCUGACCCACGGGAAGGUGGUGGGAGCUCAUCACAGGACCAGGACCCGCUGUCUGCCUGGCAAGACAUGGAGUCAUCUAGCAGAAGGCAAGGCCAUCCAGGGAGGGCCAGAUCCAGAGGCUCCCAGGCCCUGCACUGCCACUCCCCAGCCGAGACAGCAGGGUUGAGAGGCAGCCACACCCUGGUGUCCCCAGUCCCCAGGAAAGGGAAGAGCAUGCAUGCUGCGGAGGCCCCUGAAUAAAUCACAUUGACUUAUUUUUACAUUGUGAGCACGUCUUACAUGCUAAAGAGUGCAUAGAUGUAUUUGUUUGAUUUGAAGAAUGACUAUGUAGUGAGAACCUGUGUAACCACCACCCAGGUCAGGAAAGGAAACCUCAUUAGCACCCCUGCAGCCACCAUGAUCACAUACACCCUGUUCCUCCGCCUAGAGGCCAUCGCCAUCCUAACUUUUGUACUGGCCUCAUCUUCCUUUCUGGCCUUACCACCCACGGAUGCACCUUGAAGAAGAGAGCCCGGUGUUGACUGCAUUUGGCUUUAAUGUAGAUGAGACAGAUGAGACGCACCAUUUCUGUGUGCCUUGCUCUUCUGCUCUCACUGGGUCUGUGAGUAGCUGAAGUUGCUCAUUUGACCCCAUGCUUUGCUUUAUAUUUGCAUAAACACUCCACAGUUAUUUAUCCAUCACAUUGUUGAGGGACAGCUGUUUCCCCCCACAUUUUACAAGUACAAAUAACAUUACCAUGAACCUUCUUCUUCAUGGCUCCUGGGGCAUGUGUGGGUGUUACAUGAGUGGCACGGCUGGGUCACGGAGUAGGCACCUCAUCCAUUUUACUAGGCACUAGUAAAACUCUCACAUUUUCCGGAGUGACUGCUCCAACACCAGCAAUAAAAGUUCUUAAUGCUCUCCCUCCUUCCUGACACAUGGUAUUUUCUGGCUUUCCAAUGAUUCCCAGUCUUAACAUUUUAUUGAAUAAAUGAAUCAACAACUAGAAA